CGGAAGGAUGCCAAUACAGCAAACAUGUCGGCGGUCAAUUGAAAAGUUGCCGCUAGUCAAAUUGUAAGUGCGUGUGUGUGUGUUUGUGUUUUAUGUUCUAACUUUGCGUUUAAGCCGCACCUUGACACGUUUAGAAGACGAGGACUCCACGAUAAGAGCCAGAAUAUUCGUUAUUAUCAGAAAUAAUGCUGAUAUCUGGGACUCAUGUCGGACGUCGUGUAUGAAGAGACAGCCACGAUGAUUGCCGCAGGGGAAUUGCAGUCGUUUGUCCCGUUUGGCCGUGAUCACUGCAAGAACCACCCCAACGCUUUCAACCUGCAGCUGCGGGAGCUGCAGCCCGCCUCAGAACUCUGGACGUCGGACUGCGCCGCCGGCCUGGCGGGCUCCCUGCAGGAGGUCAGCCUGCAGGAGAGAGAGCGGGAAAGCUGGCAGCUGAGGAAGGGCUGCAUGGAGGUCCCGGAGCAGGGUGUGGAGUUCGAAGAGGAGCUUUACUCGGCAGGGAACGUGGUGGUCUGGACCAAGGGUAGCCGGGCACAUGGCUCGAAUGUUUACAAGGCGUUCACUGUGGACAGCCCGGUGGAGCAGGCUUUAUGGUGUGACUUUGCUGUCCCUCCGAGCAAGAAGGAUGAAGAACAGCUGGAGCACACGGUGUGCAUCGUCCAGAACGGCUGCAUCAACAUCCACACCGUGACCGGCAAAGAUUUCCUCUCGCCGCUGCCGUUCCAGGUGUCCAAAGCCUGGCCGACUAAGUUCGGACUUGUGUUUGAGCGUAAAAUCACAGCAGCUGACGGCCAGCUCAACCCUUCGGGCGAGCCACUUCCCUACUUGUUCAGCAUGCUGCAUCCGAUAGAUGAGGUGGCACCAGUGGUGUACAAACCCUCUGGUCCGUUUGACAGCUCUCGCGUGGAGUACAUGACGGAAUCCAGCUCAAAGAUCGUCUUCACCUGCUGUCAGCCCUCCGUCAUCGUCACUUACGAUAGUGAGCACGGAAUACACUCGGUGUGGAGGCUGCGCAAGGUCACAUCUGAGGAGCGCUCGAUGGUGCUUAGUUGUCUCGCCGAGCCCUUUGCCGAACCUCUCGGCUUCCAGGCCACGGGCCUCCUUAUGUCACACCUGCGCAACCACUCCCGCUUGGACACCCCGUGUGGCAGCAAGGCAGCCAGGUUCAAUCCCGGCGCUGGAGCAAGUGGUGUCAUUGGUGCCAACAGCCCUCAUCACUACAGCACCGUGCACAGCCACCAGAGCAGAACCCUCAUGUCCUCACCAGUAAUGCACUCCCGCGUCCAUUCCCCGGGUAUAUCCAAGAUGGCUGCCGUCAGUCGCGACCACUCUCCGGGCAUGGCGAUGCCGUCCUUAUCGGGCGCGGCUCGCUUUAACACGACCCUGCACUCCUCGUCACCUGCGGGCCACCAUCACGGCAUGGCGCACUCGCCCAACAGCACCAUCAAUGAGACGGUGCCGGAGCCCAUCAUCCCAGAUCUGUGCAUGGAGCAGCUAUGGAGCGAGACAACUGCGUGCCACAGCCUGGACAGAGAGAUGAGCAGCCAGGCGUCCAAAGUGUUCCUGACCUCCGACCUCUGCGAGAACCGCUACCUCUGUUUCCUGGUGGAGUCGCACCAGCAACUCAGAUGUGUGAAAUUCGUGGAGAGCAACGACACGUCUCAGCUCAUCUUCGCCUCCGUGACGAACAUCGCCGCCAAAGAUGCGGAGCCUUUGCAGAACAUUGAUGCAAUGCUGGUAUUGGAGGCCUGCGGCAGCCUAAUUCUCUACACGGGUGUCACCCGGGUCAGCCAGGUGUUUGUGCCCGGCCUCCUGCCAUCCACUUUCGGUCUUAACAACAACCGUGUCGGUCCCUACACGCCGCAGGAGCAAGUUAGCACGCCCACUAAUGCAAGCAGCAGGAAUUUGCAAAGAAUGGACGAGGCCGCCAUGCCCUCGCCCGUGUCCGAUCCAAGGGGCCCAAACAUGAAGCACCACGAAGCAUCUUUUUUAGAGGACUACACUUACCAGCAGGCUUUGCGCUACAUCCACGCCCUCCGGGACCCUGUCAGCAACCGUGUAACUCUGGAACUAAGUAACGGCACCAUGCUGAGAAUUUCCAUCCCGGACAUUGCUGUCUCUGAGCUGGUUCGGAAAUGUCUUCAGGCCAUUCGUUUCAUCCUGCCCAAGGAAGCUGCCAUGAAGGUUUUGGUGAAAUGGUACACAAUUUACAACGCCCCUGGCGGCACAAGCCCCCACAGUGAGUGGAACCUGUUUGUCACUUGUUUCUUGAAGCUGAUGGGCUACAACACGGAGCGCCUGACCUGGACCCGGAAUCUGAAUUUUGAAGUGCCUCUCUCGCCGGUGAUUGCGGCUAAGAAAGCUCGUCCCUGUGAUGGAGGUUGCGAUGAGGAUUGGGAGUACUUGCUGGGAAGUCAUUACCACCGCCAGAUGGAUUCUCAUUCCGACGCCAAACCAGCAGCCUCUAGUGGCUUUAACGCCAGCGUCAUCCCGGACGAUGGGGACCUCUCAUCUGCGCCGUCCUCUUCCUGCGUCUUAGACAACACGGCGCCCCUCUUCGUUCACAUUCCGGCCCUCUUCUACGUUCUUCACCUGCUCUACCAGGAGCUGCUCCUCAACGAAUUGCACCGAGAGAGGGCCUUGUCCCUGGUGUGUCUUCUGCAGCAGCUCGCCAGAGACCUGCAGUUGGAAGAUUAUGUGGAUCUCUACUGGAGAGACUACCCAUCAUUAAUCAAUGGAUUCACAGAGAGCUGCCUCAUAGACCAGUCUCUGAUUGGUCAAAUGCAGCAUCCGUCUUUCCUGCGUGCGGAACCUCCCUGCAUCUUCAGCUGGCUCAGUAGCUGCCUGCAAGGGGAAUCGGUCCCGCCUUUCCCCUACCUGCCCGGUGUCUGCCACAGGCUCCGGCUGUUGGUUCUGAGUUAUGCUCUCUACAUCAGCGGCGACGACAAAGCCACCACAUCCAAUGCGUCUGAAUACUUGGUGAAGCUCUCUGCAGGCCAAAAGACCAGUGAGCAGCAGUACAAAAGACAGACGAGCGUGAAUCAAGUCAAGUCGUGCAGCGGGAGUCUGGCUGAGCAGCUCGUGGUCUGGCUCACCUCGCAAGGGUUCACCCUCAAAGACUUGGAGUCGGUCCCUUUCGGCGUGGCUCUGCCCAUCCGAGACGCCAUCUACCACUGCCGGGAGCAGCCCUGCGCCGAUUGGUCAGAGGAGGUUUGCCUGCUGAUUGGCCGGCAGGACCGCACCAGACAGGCCCACAACAUGACCCUGGUGAAAAGCAAAGCUUCUGUGAGCUCAAGUUUGUCCUUGGAACCUCCCGCGACCACAGAGGCCGACGAGGAGGAGGACGGAAUGUCGGACAUCAUUCAGGAGGUCACAGGACUGAUCUGGAGUCAGGAUCUUAGGGUCCAGGAAGUCCGAAGGCUUCUGCAGAGCUCCAAGCCAGUCCGGGUCUGCGUCGUUCAGCUCCCGGAGGUCUCGGACCACGAGUACAUAGAAGAGAAAGAGAACAAACUCCUUCAGCUGUGUCAAAGGACCAUGUCCCUCCCAGUGGGAAGGGGCCUCUUCACUCUGUUCUCCUACCAGCCUGUACCUACAGAACUUUUACCCAUCCCGAAACUCAACCUCACAGGUCGUGCCCCACCCAGGAACACCAUGGUCAACCUGAACAGCGGGAAUAUUGACGUCCCGGCCAAUAUGCCCAGCUGGCCCAGCUUCCACAACGGCGUCGCUGCCGGACUCAAGAUCGCCCCCGCGUCGCAGGUGGACUCGGCUUGGAUUGUCUACAACAAAAACAAGAACCAAGAGAUGGCCAACGAGCACGCUGGCUUCCUCAUGGCGCUGGGCCUCAACGGGCAUCUCACCAAGCUUGGGACACUCAACAUACACGACUACCUCACCAAGGGCCACGAGAUGACCACCAUCGGGCUUCUCCUGGGCGUGGCAGCAGCGCGACUGGGUACCAUGGACGUGUCCACCACCCGCCUGCUCAGCAUCCACAUCCCUGCCCUGCUUCCUCCCACCUCCACUGAGUUGGAUGUCCCACACAAUAUACAGGUGGCGUCUGUAAUCGGCAUCGGGCUGGUGUAUCAGGGAACAGGACACAGACACAUUGCUGAGGUUCUACAAUCAGAAAUAGGGCGACCUCCAGGUCCGGAGAUGGAAUACUGCACCGACAGGGAGUCCUAUUCCCUAGCUGCGGGAUUAGCUCUUGGGAUGGUCUGCCUCGGGCAAGGCAGCAACCUAAUUGGGAUGAGUGACCUGAACGUCCCAGAGCAACUGUAUCAGUAUAUGGUAGGGGGCCAUCGAAGGGCCCCAGUCGGAGCCAGCCGAGAGAGACAUAAAUCUCCCAGCUACCAGAUCAAGGAGGGCGACACUAUCAAUGUGGAUGUGACGUGUCCUGGGGCCACGCUGGCACUCGCCAUGAUCUAUUUGAAGACCAACAACCGGUCCAUAGCUGACUGGCUGAAACCUCCAGAUACUUGGUUCCUAUUGGAUUUCAUCAAGCCAGAGUUUCUUCUGCUCAGGACCCUGGCCAGGUGCCUCAUCAUGUGGGAUGAAAUCCUCCCUAAUACAGAAUGGGUCAAAAGUAACGUGCCGCAGAUCAUGAGGGGGUCUCAUUCGGACUCACCAGAAAACAUCAACAUGGAGACGUGGAUCCAAGUGCAGGAUUACAUCACAGCCGGAGCUUGCAUGGCGCUCGGCCUGCGAUUCGCCGGUUCCGCCAACUCGGAUGCCUUCGACUGCCUCUACGACUUUGCCAAGAACUUCAUGAGGCUGAUGUCCUUCUACGGUACAGCCGCUGCGGAGCCGGGCUGCUACAACAUGCAGACGGCGCUGUCCAUGAUCCUGCUGUCCAUGUCCAUGGUGAUGGCCGGCACGGGCAACCUGAAGGUGCUACAGCUCUGCCGCUUCCUGCACUACCGAACCGGCGGCGAGAUGAACUACGGCUUCCACAUGGCUCAUCACAUGGCGCUCGGCAUGCUUUUCCUGGGAGGGGGAAGGUUCAGCUUGAGCACAUCCAACUCAGCCAUCGCUGCUCUGCUCUGUUCCCUCUAUCCUCACUUCCCCUCACAUAGCACAGACAACCGCUAUCACCUGCAGGCGCUGCGCCAUCUCAUUGUUCUGGCCGCCGAGAGCCGGCUGCUGGUGCCGGUUGACGUGGACUCCCUUAAGCCUUGCUACGCCCUCCUGGAGGUCACCUACAAGAAAACCGACUGGUACGACGAGACCACGGUGGAGCUGAUGGCUCCGACCAUGCUGCCCGAGCUGCACCUCCUCAAGCGGGUUCGAGUGAAGGGGCCUCGUUACUGGGAACUUUCCAUUGACCUGAUCAAGGAAGUGCAACACCUCAAGUCGGUCCUUUCCAGGGACGGCGUGUUAUACGUGAAACUCCGAGCGGGGCAGUUGCCCUACAAGGAUGACCCCCAGGGCUGGAAAAGCUUGCUGGGCUCCGCCGUCACUCAGCGCAGCUCUGGAGUCCGAGCCUUUAAGCUCGAGGCCAUCUCCACCUUCACCUCCGAGCCGGCCUUGCUCUCCUUCGCCGAGUUCUUCUGCAAGACGUCGGGCGGAGCGAAGCACCGAGUAGAGACCGUGGAGCUGUUCUCAGCCAUGUUGUACGAGUGCGUGACGCAGGAGUGUCCGGAGAUGCUGCCCACGUACGUCGCUAUCGAGCAGGCGGUGGGCGCUCUGUGCCGUGGUGAGCCGCAGCACAGUUUCGCCCUGUGGCAGAUGCGCCUGGUGGUGGAGCUUUGGGACAGCAGGGUGCUCCAGCGGCCUGCCCACGGCCGUGACGCGCUGCUUUCCUCUGAGUUUUUACCGGUCAUGAAGAACAAGGUGGAUGUGGUGCUGGACAGCUGGCUCAAAGACAACAGCUCAGCGUUGAGGUCCUACAUAGGCAGAAAGGCUCUCCCCGAUGGUCCCGGGUCCCCCAUGUUGGCUUGCUUCCUGGUCUACCGCUCUGUCCCCUGCCUCAGGAACAAACUGGCGCAGCUUCAAGGCUGCACUUCACUCGGGCACUUGUUGUCCAGCAGCAGCCGGUUGGGAAUGCCACUCAGAGACCUGCUCAGGCUCGCUCCGGUCCUGCUGGAAACCCAAAGCAGGCCGCGGAUGCUCCUUGGUUCCCCGUUGCUCGCACGCUGAACCUUGAAGCCUUAUACUCUGUUCACGCAGCAGAGAGACAGGAUGGCCUUUCUGCAUGCCUUGCAGGUUCACUGCUGGGAGGAUGCCAGUUGUCAUCACGUCACACAAAAAAAGUUAGGAAUUUUGGGGAUGAAUGUAAAUACACAAUUUCAUUUGACCUAAAAGUUUUUUCCAAGGCCAAAUUAAAUGGACCUAUUAUGGUUAUGGCAUUUACCUGAAAAUAUACUCACUACUUUUUGGAAGUAGUGUACUGUGACUUGGUGUAUGGUUGCCAAUGUUUUUUUGACAGCCUUGGAGACUAGGUGUUCCCAAACCACGUGUAUCCAUUUAAAACAUCAGUGACUCAGCCAUGUUUGACUUUUUAUGUGUCUGAUGCAAGGAAAUGAAACAGAAUUACUUUCACACCAACGCUUUAAUCGAGCUGUGUGAUGUUGCACUUGUGGAAAAAAACAACAACUCCUUAUUAGUCUUUAAAUUCCCAAGCCUUUUUUUUUUCCACCCCAAGUCCAACCCUUGAUGUUCCCUCCUAGACAUUCAUGCCAACAAUGUUCUGGCAAGUCCAGUUUACCAGCAGCUAUGCCAACAUUCCUCAGAAAUGAAUAACAUGCAAACACAUAAACAGCCCACGCCUUGUCCUCAUUCCAUCAUUGCUUCCUUUAUGUCAUGUCGCUAUCUUGGUGGAACUUUGAGCGAGAUAGCCAACGGCCAGCUGUGUGUUUCGCUCACUGAUAGCGCGGCUCUUCCGGUUCCUGGAAGUCGUUUUAUCUUGUCUUUAAAUGCUAAACUGUGGGCGUUUUACUGGCUGAUCAAAGACAACCAAGUUUAAGUGUCUCCGUUUUUUUUUCCCUGAGAAUUCUUCUCAAGAAAACCAGAAUCAAGUUUUUCUACUUUAUACAGAUGUUGAGGUUGAAAAGAAAGUAAAAAUAGCAUUUCAAAACAAAAGCAAGGCAGGUAUGCACACUAUGUUGCCUUUCAUUCUUUUAAUAGCUUCCUCUUUUGAGUUGAAAACCAUUUCCAGUACGAAACCUUGCGCCACGUGGUUGGCUCAUUCUUCACAUUCUUUCAUCACACGUUGCCUGGAUGUUUGAAAAGUAAAAGUGCUUGUGCAAUCCAACGGCAUUUUUUUUUUUUUUUUCUUGAGCUGUGUUGUUAUUGGCAAAAUAGUGUUUGCUUUGAAAAGGUAAUCUGGUUCGCCUUGCUUUGGAAUGCCUGACCUUAAAACAAGAAUUCUCUCGAGGUGGCCUCCGCCCUCCUCCAUACCAACCAACAAUAAUCAUUAUGAUCAUAAUCAUUGCAAUCACUUCCGAGAAGCCGAGUGCUCGCUUUGAGCCAAGCAGUGCUUUUUUUGAAUUGAAUUGAAAGUUCAAAGUUCAAAAUCAGCUUUAUUGUCAAUCCCUUCAUAUGUCAAGACACACAAAGAGACCGAAAUUCCGUUUCCUCUAUCCCACCGUGAUGAGACAUAGUACACGAUAGACAUACAAGUAGACGACACAAAAUAAAAACAAGAAGGCACAAAUAAUAAAUAAUAAGUAAAUAAUGAGGGAUGAAUAAAUAAUAAACAAAUAAACUUAUCAUUCCACCCGAUUCUUGACUGUGACACAUUUCAGUGCACUGUAUUUCAAACUCAAAUUUAAAAAAAAAAAAGAACCGCGUAAUUCCUGUCAAGGGUUUCACCGCAUCUGCACUUCUGCUCACCUUGCAGGACGUCACCACAGUGCAAUUACUUGAUUUUACAGUCUAUUCCGGGAACUUGCCAGGUGAUUUUAACAUUCUAGUUUGAAAUAGAGAACUAGAGAAGUGUCACUACGCUUUUAUGAAGAACUAGAGAGUGUUGGCGCCUUUUUUUGUCUUAUCCGGCACCACUUCUUUGACUUCCUCUGCGAACAUAAAAAUGAAGUCGGUGCGAGUCUAAUUUUAAUAUUAUUUGCAUAUGGAGAGGAAGUUGGAUAAGAGCACAAGUACGCGUACAUACACUCACCCCCGAGUGGUAGUUUUACGGUGUGCAACAGGGUUUACAACUUUGCCCUAUUUUUUUUUUUCUGUUACUGUAUUGCAUAUAUGUUACAUACAGUAUUUUGGAGUGGUCACACACCUUAAAACCUGAAGACCACCCUAAAGACACACACACAAAUACAGUCUUAAUAAUUUUGAUCUAUUUAAGAUUUUCUCCUUUGUCUCACUUUUUGCCUACAUUUUGCAUAAUCAAUGUUUUUUAAAGAGUUUCCAUAUAUUUUAGGUACUUUGUUCCACUUUUUGCCUCCAUUUUGUAUACUCAAUUGCAUAUGAUGCUUUUAGAGUUUCCAGUUUUAGGGUGGUGGAUGACCUUAACAUCCUAAUGACCCUUCAAAAUACUACAAUAAAGCAGCUUGACUAAGUGUGUACUUCAGUUUAUUGUUGACACAUUUCUCCAAACUGUUUUACAUAUGAUACUUUUACAACUCAUACUCAGUCACUUAUAAAAAAAAAAAAAGAUAUAUUAGUAGUAUGUAUAGAGCCAUUCGGGUCACAUGAUUGUAGACUGUCCAAUGAUGACAUGUCUCCCUCCAUUCAUCGUGGGUGGAGGACCGUGUGGGCGUGAGACCAGAAGUUGAUAGAAGUUAAAUUGUUGAGCUGCGUCACUGUGAAUGGCUUUUGGCUGAGAGACGUUUGGAGCAAGACUUUCUGCAGGCAGAAAAGCGAUUGCAAAGUGCUCUAGGCGCGGUUUAUUUGGGCAUGCAUGGCAUUCGUUGAAAAAGAAAAAAGAUCCCUCAGUGCAAAAAGUUGACAGAAAAUUCGUGUUUGCAUGUGGCGUUGUUUAAAGACUGCAAAAUCAAGAAAGUUUGGCGCCCUUCUGCUCAUGACAGGCUUUAGUGAGAACUCCUCCACUGAAGAAGAAGAAGCGAAAAAGAUGAAGAAGCGCAAACGCUCCAUAUUUGCUGAGUCAGCCUCAUGACUUCAUCGACAUCACGAGAUGGUGCGAGGGCGUUGCAGCAGCAGCAGGCCCGAGAAGCACUCUGCAGCUGCAGCUUCAUUUGUGGCACCGCACUACCAUCACUCCCACGGAGAGUUCUUUUUUUCCCACCAUCUGCAGCUGGGUUGAGCAAGCGGAAGGUUGACAGGUGAACGCGAGCCCGGAGGAGAGACUCCGCCCCCAACAACAUCAUCAGCAAGGACUGGAUGGGACUGGAACCCCGGGCGUGGGCGGAUGGACACGUGACUCACCCGGCAGCAGGAAGACGACGACCGGAGUCAACAAGCCCACGCUUUGGCCCUCAUCCACAUCGCCAUUCAUUGCUCACACAGCAGAAGGGAAAUCCUCUCCACAAACCACCACCAGGACUUGAGAGAGGAGGACGUCCUGUCUUGGCCUCACGCCUUUCGGAUAAAACCUGGCCCUGAUGGAUCGUAAAACACCAACAAAGAGUGGCACGAGAUCCAGCCAGAGAGAGGGGGGAGGAAAAGUCAAGCAAAGCCCACACAGCACGCUCAUGCCAGGACAGGAAACAGGACAGACUAAGAGGCUUUUCCAGCUUUUCCUGUACACCAUCCCUUUGACCCGACUGCAAAUAUGUGGCACCCAAGAGACUAGUCCAUCGUUUCAUGACGACGAGAUAAGAGGUGAGGAUUAAUUCAGACGUCGACAUUUUACCAGAAUUAUAAAAGUCUCCAAAUAUGCAAAUCUGUUAUUCAUCUUGGUGAUGGCAAAGUCGAACCAGUGAAUGCUAUUAUGAUUAUGAUCCAUAAACGCUAUUAUCGUAAACAAUUGCUGGGCAAUCCGGCCAAUUUUUUUAUUGGAUCGCUCCAGGUAACACAAUCCGUCAUCAUGACAUAGAGGUGUCAAUCAUUGGGCGGUUUUGCUGAUGGCUAACAUCUGUUGCUCUUAUUGCACGGAGGUUCAAAUUGAAAAACGUUUUGUUGUGUCUUCGGGGAGGGAUGCGAUCAAUUAUUGCGUCAGGGUUCUCGGGGCAACUGCAGGGAUCGGUAAAGCAAACACAAGAGUGACUUUGGUCACGCAACUGGUGUGGAAUGACUCAUACAUUGACCUUUAAAAAGGUCGAUUGUAGCUUUAUUUUUUACGACUUUCCUUUCUGUUGUUAUUGAUCUGUGUCUGUGUGGUAAAAACAUUGCAGUUAGCCGUUACAAAACAGCUCAUGUCCUUUUUGUUUUCUAGCCACAACUUACUAUGCGGCCACCCAAAAAUAGCUCAGGCUGCACUUAAAUGGCGUGCGCGCUCGCACACAGAAAAGAGAAACUGGCUCAGGCUUUGUUAUUGUUAGCCUAAUAGCAUAGUUGCCUUAGUCAUAUAGUUGAACAUUUUCAAAACAAGAAAGCACAACAAAUUCUACAAACAAGAAGCGUCCGCUUGCCUCAAUUCAACCUCUGUGGAUUACCACGAACCAAAUGACUAAUAAAAUUCUAAAAAACUAUUAAAUUUGUAGCAAGCACAUUGCUAAUUUUUUUAUUUUUUUUUUAAUGUUGCGACAAACCCGUGAUUGGUUGUUAACUGCGCACUGAGCAUGUGAUGUCAUUUUCAGUUGACAGCAAGGGACAAAAUGUAUUUUUCUACACAAUCUUGUGUAAUAUAUAAUUUGUCAUUUUUAAUUCCCGUUUCAGAACAAAUUCUUGCAAGGGCUCUACAUUCAUGCUAAAUAAUUUAAAAUACAAUAUAUAUAUAUACAAAAAUAGACUAAAAAUAAACACUUGGUUCAAAACCCCCUUUUUGUCUUUGACACCCGACGGAUGCGCACUGGUCCUCCGAGUUAUUUUUGUUUGCAAGCACUCCCACUGAAAGACGACAGCCUCUGUUCAAGUGUGUGUGUGUGUGUGUGUGUGUGUGUGUGUGUGUGUGUGUCUUUUGGCAGGAUAAUUAGACCUUGUGCCUUUGCUCAGCGAGAGCCCUUUAACCGCAAGGCUGAGCAAUAAUGUAGCUACACUGUCACGGACACCGGCCCCUGACACACACACACCAGACAGUGCUUUUACUGACGUCUGAAAACAAACACACAAUCCAUAAACCCAACACACACUAAAAUUAGACAUUUUUGGCAUAUAAUGUGACUCUCCUUGCCCACACGCGAGGGCAUUACGAUGACCUUAAUUGAGUCAUGUGACACCAGGCACGAGUACGGGGAACAAGCAGCCGGCUUCCUCUUUUUCUCGCCCCUGCUCAUUGUUCUAAUAAAACACGUGCACAGACUUUCGGAAUAAUUCUUUGCUCAAGUUCACGGCCCUUAAGAUGCACACACACACACACACGCAUGCGUGCACCUUCUUCUCCUUCUAACUUCCCGUCAUGUGAAUAAGUGUUGAGUCACAGCAGCUACUUAUCACGUUAUCACACUCUUCUCCAGCCUCCCGCCGGCUUCCUCUGUGGCCUUUAAUCUUAGCCAAGCACGAGCAGGGUCGUCAACAAUCUGAACGCAUCCAAAUGGCGUGUUUAAUCUGAAAUAAAAUCCACUUUUAUGUGCAAUUCCCAAAGGCCGGCGGGCGCCGCAAAUGUAGUCAUUGACUCACAGUAAAGACGGGGGAGUUACUAAGCUGUGUUAAUUACGGGCUUUAGAGCAAGGUCUCCGAAAAAGUCAAUGAGUGGAGCUUUGGAACGCUGUGAUGAGAUUAAACGCGGUCGAAGCCGCCAGGACGAGAAGUGGCGAUGAUGCAACGAGCAGAAAUAAUGCCGAACCAAAACGGGAGCCAUGCGUAAUAUACUCGCUGUUCUGCCUUCGAUCAAGUUUGAAACAAGCUGAGCCUUGAGGAGAUGAUGUGUAACCUUAUGCUGGAAUUAAAUACAGUAAGAAAUCAUUUUGCAAUCAAGCAGGAAAUAUCCAAAGUUAAAAUUAGGAAUUUUCAAGAAAUGUUGCAGUACUGUAUUUUAUGCAUGGCUCUUUGUGUUGCUGCUCCAUUUGUGUUAAAGUAGCAGUUGUUUUCAAGUUUACAACUAUGCUCAUUUCCAUUAGCUCCUCUAGGUGUUAGCAUUAAGCUAGUGGACUUUCAUGCAAGAAGUGAUCAAUCUUUUGUUUGUUUAAAAUCUUAUACCAAGAGUGAAGUUUCUAUGCUAGUUUCUGUUAGCCAGUUUAUAGGGAUGUCCAUUAUUUGUUAGCAUUAAGCUAGCAGAUUUUUGUUUGAUGAAACAUGAUUUGGAGAUUUUUUAUACUGUACAAUGUAACAAUGGACAAAUAAACGCCUUGAGAAUAGGAUGCUUUGCCAUUUAAAAUGAUGUUGUACGAUAGUCACCCAUUUUGUGAUAUCAAAAUAUCUCCAGCAAUGUCACUGUUCUUAGAAGGCAAAUGUAAAUACGUAGACUCAUUAACCCUGACCCUCAUUAUGUAGUCGUUGUAGUCAUCUCCGAUGCGUCGAAGCUCCUGUCCGACCUCCACGGCCUGCAUGUCCCCAGCAGCCGGUCCGAGCCCGGCGCUCGGACGCCAGACAGAACUUCCUGCAAGCAAAAAAACAAAACACUUCACCCCUAAUGCGAUCAGAAAUGCGUUCGCUGAAUAUUAUCGUGUGAGUUCGGCCAAUUAGCCCCGCGCCAUCCCGCCGUGACGAUGCCAUUCAUCAAAAGUGCGGAAAGAUGGACGGGCCCCGGUCAGUAAUUACACGAUUGGAGUGGAGCUCAGUAAAUCAAAAGAAGCAGGGGAAGAGCCGAUUUGCUGGAAGGAAAUCAUCGCCUUUGGAAGUCCCGAACGGGUCCUUACCCGGUCACAGAUGAGCUUUGUGACCGAGACAACCCAUCGACUCAUCCCUAGAAUUACUGCUCGUGUGUGUGUGUUUAGUGCUAUCAGAUGGAUGCCGCUGAAUGAAAAAGCGCUGAAUGACCCAUGUCUGCGCCACACAAAAGACUAGCAGGACUGUUUUGACUGCCACACACACACAAAUAUAAAGCAUCCUAAAGCCCAGAGGUCUUAAUGAGCCAUGUUUAGACUCCAGCCGUCUGUCUGAUAAAAGAAAAAGAAAGAAAUGCUGAGAUUUUGACUCUGAACCUGAAUAAUUUUGAUAGGUAGAAAAACCUAUUGACGGUUCAGCAGAGUUCAGACCUCUGUCAACACUGAUGAGGGGCUGUAAAUUCCUCAAUUCUGAGAAUAGCAGCAAAUUUUGGACUGUAAAAUGGAAGAAAGAAAAAACAAAUAAAUCUUGCUUGGGUUUGUUUUAAAUUUUCAAAAAAAAAAUUGAAGCAAUCUAGUGAGUGUUGUUGAUAAAGUUAGAUAACAAAACUCCAAUUUUGGAUUGUCAAAAAUGUUCCAAUAAUCAUACUAUGUUGGGGUGUGUUGUUCCCCUCCAGUCCUCUAGGUGGCAGUCUGUAGUAGCCAGUGUUGUACAUUAUCUGAAUCGUAAGUUCCUGUCUUUACUGUUCCACUCCAACCCUUUAGGGGUCAGUAUUGUGCCAGAUUCCUCCCACCUAGUUCAGCAUCAGAAAAGUAUCUAUGUGAUUGUAAUAAAUAUUUAAGACAAAAAAAUGCAAAGAAUUGUCAUUCAUUUUAGGUGGUUAUAAAUGUUGCUAUGUUGUGGCUGUUCCACUCCAGCCCUCUAGGCGGCAAUAUUGUCUAUUUGUAUUCCUCUAACUACCUAACCAAAUUACUGGCGAACAGAAAGAAAUCAAACACAUUAUCUAAUAUGUUUCCCAUUCUGCAAGGCUAAAUGAGGUCACCAAAAUAUUUGAGGACAAAUAUAAACUAGAAUGUGCAGUGUGAGUUCAUUGUUGUUUGUGUCAGAGCAAACACUGCGAGGGGAUUAGCGCUGGUCGUUACUCCCUAUUUUGUCCCACGCCGCGGCCCGUUUGUUACCAAAACAAGCGUCAGAACAUUGCGGUGGCUAAAAGUAGCUGACAAAUCAAAGCGUACAUAAUGUUAAAAGAGCACUUUGGUGGCUGGAGGUGAUGAUAUUUUAAGACCAUAGUGAAGAGAGAGCUAAUAAUAAAGAUCCUGAAAGCGCCUUUUGUAUUACAUCCCAGACGGAAUGAAAUUUAGCUCUGGGAAGAAAAUGAUGUCCCAUGUUGGAAAGAUAGAAGACAAGUGACUUUGCAAACAUACCAGGAAAAAUAAGAUUAAGAAUCAGGUUUUGUUAUUUUAAAUGGAGUCAUUUGACAGUAAACCAUGUUGACUACUUGAUGUUGUUUUGGUAGCAUAUCUUUGGGCUCUUGCGUCAUGAUACUUUUAUUUUGUUUUUUUCCCCCUCUAGUGUAGGUCGGGCUGGUUCCUGUCAACUCUCCCUGUUCUUUGUUGGUGCCGUAAAUUGACGAUUUGACAUCUUUUAGCGAGCGAGGGGAAUCUGUUGUGACUCAUGUUGUAGUUUCAUGUUUCAAUUUGACAUGCACACUGUAGUUAAAUAUGCGCCAGCUGCUUCUGCACGAGUAAAUACGCUUCAAUCACUUAUGGGAUCAUGCACGAGCUAUUUUUUCCCAGUGGCCUCAGACUGAUGACCUUCAGUGUGUGACAUGGGCUUUCUAAGCUCCAGCUGCACAAGAGAUUGUUUGCACACAGUCUGCUCACGUGACCACACAUGACGUGCACUCACCCUGCAGCGUCGCCCUCGGGUAAUGCGCCUCCUCAGCGACGCGCGCCAGGGCGUGCUCCAGCGCCUGAGCCGAGGGGCUGGGCGUCUGAGUGAAGGCGGAGACGCGCGUCGAGAGCGGCGAGCUCGGCAGAGAUUCUCCCUCGAUGGAGAAGUAUCCGCUGGACGAUCGCCGGUACGGAAAGUGAAAGAUGGUUCUGGUCUCAAACACGCCGCGGCGCUCCGGGGAGAGGAGGGGGGAGAUGUUGCUCCGGAAGCGGGACGGCGAGCGCAGCGCGCCCGCUGCGGGUGCUCCUCCUAAAUGGUCGAUGUCUUGCAAGCAGACGCCGGAGCCGUGUUGCUCUUUGCGGCUCUCGCUCGGCUGCGGCCGCGGACGUCCUGCGCUCGCUUCUGUGGUCACUGCGGUUCCAUGGGAUCUGCUGGGGUGAACGCAACGGCACCGUCAACUUGCGUCGCCAGAAUCGGCGGCGGCUUCGUCCCUUCUUCCCCCGUUUGCGGUGUGUUAUUUCGCCUGCGAUCGGAUUACCUUUGACCGCCGAAUGGAUAUUGGCCGUCGCCCUGCAGAUCCUAUUCGGAAGCUCCACCGCGUUCGAAGGGGCGCUCGUGGAAGUUUUAAAACACUUUUUUUUUUUUGCUCGUGUGGAACUUUAUCGAGCCUCGCGUGUUAAAAGGAAGCAAACUGCGUCACAUGUCAACUCGGUCCGGGGGAAGGAAAAACAAAAGCUUUUUAUUUUUUUUUAACAGCAGACACCAUGUCUUUUUAUUUACCCUCAACCACCACAUCGGAACACGUUGACUCUAUCGGUCGAGAAUUGAACGUCUUUACGCGUUGACUAGUACAUUACAUUUUGAAAUAUAUUUCUAUAUUAGGCUGUGCGUAGGGGGGUGGGGGUGGGGGGUGUCUUCCUGUUUGUCCAUACUGAAGCGGCUUCCUCGGCGAGCAGCCCCACAAUGACGCUCUCCCGGGUGCCAACACAAUCCACGCACAUUUUAAUGCUACCAGGAGUUGGACUUUGCGCACUAGAGCCAACCUUGCGCCAAUUAAACACAGACAGCGGAAUGAUAAUGUGCGGACAUGAGUUUGUCCAAUCUGUCAACAUUAAAUCGUUUUUCUAACAA